GACGAACGCUGGCGGCGUGCUUAACACAUGCAAGUCGAACGGAAAGGCCCUGCUUUUGUUGGUUUCUCGAGUGGCGAACGGGUGAGUAACACGUGAGUAACCUGCCCUUGACUUUGGGAUAACUUCAGGAAACUGGGGCUCAUACCGCAUAGGAGCUCCUGCUGCAUGUUGGGGGUUGGAAAGUUUCGGCGGUUGGGGAUGGACUCGCGGCUUAUCAGCUUGUUGGUGUGGUAGUGGCUUACCAAGGCUUUGACGGGUAGCCGGCCUGAGAGGGUGACCGGCGACAAUGGGACUGAGAGACGGCGCAGAAGCGUACGGGAGGCAGCAGUGGGGAGUAUUGCAGAAUGGGCGGAAGCCUGAUGCAGCAACGCCGCGUGCGGGAUGAUGGGCUUCGGGUGGUAAACAGCUGUCGCCUGAGACGAAGCGUGAGUGACGGUAAUGGGUAAAGAAGCACCGGCUAACUACGUG
rnacentral:rRNA from 1 species